rnacentral:rRNA from 1 species
CCCUUAGAUGUUCUGGGCCGCACGCGUGCUACACUGAUGCAUUCAACGAGUCUAAAACCUGGUCUGAUAGGGCUGGGUAAUCUUUUGAAAGUGCAACGUGAUUGGGAUAGAUGAUUGCAAUUCUUCAUCUUCAACGAGGAAUGCCUAGUAAACGCAAGUCAUCAGCUUGCAUUGAUUACGUCCCUGCCCUUUGUACACACCGCCCGUCGCUCCUACCGAUUGAAUGAUCCGAUGAAUACCAUGGAUUGAGAGUACGAAUAGGUUCGCUUAUUUCUGCUGCUCGAGAAGUGGAGUAAAUCUUAUCAUUUAGAGGAAGGAGAAGUCGUAACA